rnacentral:rRNA from 1 species
GGCUUUGUCCUGUGACUGCGUACCUUUUGUAUAAUGGGUCAGCGACUUAUAUUCAGUGGCAAGGUUAACCAUCUAGGGGAGCCGUAGGGAAACCGAGUCUUAACUGGGCGUUCAGUCUCUGGAUAUAGACCCGAAACCAGGUGAUCUAGCCAUGGGCAGGUUGAAGGUUGAGUAACAUCAACUGGAGGACCGAACCGACUAAUGUUGAAAAAUUAGCGGAUGACUUGUGGCUAGGGGUGAAAGGCCAAUCAAACCUGGAGAUAGCUGGUUCUCCCCGAAAGCUAUUUAGGUAGCGCCUCGGACGAAUACUACUGGGGGUAGAGCACUGUUAAGGCUAGGGGGUCAUCCCGACUUACCAACCCUUUGCAAACUCCGAAUACCAGUAAGUACUAUCCGGGAGACACACGGCGGGUGCUAACGUCCGUCGUGGAG